rfam:Anopheles minimus strain MINIMTS1 unplaced genomic scaffold supercont1.1, whole genome shotgun sequence.
GGUCCGGUGGCCGAGGAGAUAAGCGGCGCUGGUCUUAAACGGCAGGACCGGGGUUCAAAUCCCAUCCGGACCG